rnacentral:rRNA from 1 species
GAUGAACGCUGGCGGCGUGCCUAAUACAUGCAAGUCGAGCGAACAGACGAGGAGCUUGCUCCUCUGACGUUAGCGGCGGACGGGUGAGUAACACGUGGAUAACCUACCUAUAAGACUGGGAUAACUUCGGGAAACCGGAGCUAAUACCGGAUAAUAUAUUGAACCGCAUGGUUCAAUAGUGAAAGACGGUUUUGCUGUCACUUAUAGAUGGAUCCGCGCCGCAUUAGCUAGUUGGUAAGGUAACGGCUUACCAAGGCAACGAUGCGUAGCCGACCUGAGAGGGUGAUAGGCCACACUGGAACGGAGACACGGACCAGACUCCUACGGGAGGCAGCAGUAGGGAAUCUUCCGCAAUGGGCGAAAGCCUGACGGAGCAACGCCGCGUGAGUGAUGAAGGUCUUCGGAUCGGAAAACUCUGUUAUUAGGGAAGAACAAAUGUGUAAGUAACUAUGCACGUCUUGACGGUACCUAAUCAGAAAGCCACGGCUAACUCCGUG